CAGCGCCACGAGUGGUAACCACGUUUAUUGGGCCUAAAGCGUCCGUAGCCGGUUUAGUAAGUCUUUUGUGAAAUUGUGCGGCUCAACCGUACAACGUGCAAGAGAUACUGCUAGGCUUGAGACCGGGAGGAGUCAGAAGUAUUCCAGAGGGAGCGGUAAAAUGUUAUAAUCUCUGGAGGACUACCUGUGGCGAAGGCGUCUGACCAGAACGGAUCUGACGGUGAGGGACGAAAGCCAGGGGAGCGAACCGGAUUAGAUACCCGCGUAGUCC
rnacentral:rRNA from 1 species